UUUAGCAGGCCAGAGGCGAUUAGCAAUUGAGUAAUGGACAUGGUGACACCGACAAAGAGACAGACAGACAGACAGACACAGAUCGAGCGAGAGUAUGAAACCCAAUCCGAGUUCAUUAUCUCCUCGUCCACAUGACUGCCCUUGGCUCAUCUGGCCCAAAACAAACUUGCUUGGGAAUUAACAAAGAAAAAAAAAUCUGAAGGCAAAAAAAGGGGAGGAGGAGGUUCUUCUCAUCGACUGAACUGCCAUCAAAUGUUGAAUUUUUGUACGUCAACUGAUUUUCUUGGCAACUGCCGCUUGAAUUUUCAUCAAAUCAGAUCUUCAAUCUCAUCCGAGCGUCACCCAAAUGCUACUGGAUUCUCUUCAAGUUCAAGUAGGACACUUUUUGGUGUGUCAUUUGCACCGAGGACCCCCUUCGUAGCCGCCUGAGCCUGCCUGCGAUCUUUCCGUCCGAUGUCUUCAUGACAAACGGGGGAGAUGAAACAACAAUCAGACCUUCCCAAGGACACCUUUGCCGCCCAAGAUGGAAUAUACCCAAACGACGCAGUUCAUCGGACUGCCUCUUCCAGAGUCAUUCCAUGCCAAACGCGGUGAGCAGCUGGAAUUAAUGCGGGCUACCUUAAAAAUCAACUGACCUCCAACCCUACGUGUGAGAAGAAAAAAAGCUAAAAAACCCACACAGGCACAGUAGGUCACGGCUUGGUCACAAAACCAACACACAAAAGGAGAGUAGGAGAAACAAACGCAGAGGAAAUGACAUCACGGGGUGAAGGGGAAUCUAAUUGUGGUGACCGCAUUUGACGCAACGUAAGCCGCUGUCGCGGGUUUGCAAGGGAACGGAGCCACCGACAACUCCGGUGGGCCAACUCCAUUUUCAAGUCCCGUGCAGAAAUCAAGAGAAGAAGGCAACC